GAGGAAUUUAUUGAACUCAUGGAGAUCCUGUACACAUCAACCCUUUGUGCCUCAACUGAAAAGAGCUCCACCUGCGGCCAAGUCCUACCAAUCUUGCAAAAGCUGAAGAACCAUUUCACAGUCCGAGAUGGAGAUUCACUGUUUGUCUCCUGUCUAAAGAAGACAAUCUGGACUGAUCUAUUAAAGCAAUAUCAGACAGACCAGGUGAGAAACUUCCUUGGAGAAGCAACUGCCAUGGACCCUCGCUCUAAGCAUACGCUAGAGGAAGAGGAUGCUGAGGAACCGGAUCAAUGAGAAAAUCCUUGCUGCACAUGAUCCUGCAGAAACAGAACAGCUGACAGAGCCUGGUGUCUUCGGCAAGGAGGGACGCAAGCAGACUGACGAGCCAAGAGGGGAGGAGAGCGAGGAAUCGGAGGAUGAGACUGUUUCA